rnacentral:rRNA from 1 species
UACGGGGGGGGCAAGCGUUGUUCGGAAUUACUGGGCGUAAAGGGCGCGUAGGCGGCAAUUCAAGCCAUCUGUGAAAUCUCCGGGCUUAACUCGGAACGGUCAGAUGAUACUGCUUUGCUCGAGUGCGGAAGGGGCAAUCGGAAUUCUUGGUGUAGCGGUGAAAUGCGUAGAUAUCAAGAGGAGCGCCUGAGGUGAAGACGGGUUGCUGGGCCGACACUGACGCUGACAGCGCGAAAGCCAGGGGAGCAAACGGG